rnacentral:rRNA from 1 species
CCCAAGAGAUCGGGAUAACACCUGGAAACAGAUGCUAAUACCGGAUAACAACAGAUGAUGCCUAUCAACUGUUUAAAAGAUGGUUCUGCUAUCACUCUUGGAUGGACCUGCGGUGCAUUAGCUAGUUGGUAGGGUAACGGCCUACCAAGGCGAUGAUGCAUAGCCGAGUUGAGAGACUGAUCGGCCACAUUGGGACUGAGACACGGCCCAAACUCCUACGGGAGGCAGCAGCG